rnacentral:rRNA from 1 species
CGGUAAUUCCAGCUCCAAUAGCGUAUACUAAAGUUGUUGCAGUUAAAAAGCUCGUAGUUGGAUUUCUGCGGGGACGGAGCGGCCGGUCGCAACUUGCGACUCGAGCUAGCGCUUUCCCCGCAUCCUGCCGCGAACCGUGCUACCAUUAGCUUGGUGGCGCUGGGGAUCGGCUCGAUUACUUUGAGAAAAAUAGAGUGUUCAAAGCAGGCCACACGCCUUGAAUAAGUUAGCAUGGAAUAAUGACUAAGGACUUCGGUUCUAUUUUGUUGGUGUUCGGGACUGAAGUAAUGAUUGAUAGGGACAGUUGGGGCGGUCUGUAUUCCAAAGCGAGAGGUGAAAUUCUUAGACCUUCGGAAGACAAACAGCUGCGAAAGCGUUCCGCAAGGAUGUUCCCUUUGAUCAAGAACGAAAGUUGGGGGAUCGAAGACGAUCAGAUACCGUCGUAGUCUCAACUAUAAACUAUACCAGCUAGGGAUCGGUCAACGUUUAAUCAUUCGACUUGAUCGGCACCUUAUGAGAAAUCAAAGCAUCUGGGUUCCGGAGGGAGUAUGGUCGCAAGGCUGGAACUUAAAGGAAUUGACGGAAGGGCACCACCAGCCGUGGAGCCUGUGGCUUAAUUUGACUCAACACGGGAAAACUUACCAGGUCCAGACAUAGUAAGGAUUGACAGAUUGAUAGCUCUUUCUUGAUUCUGUGGGUGGUGGUGCAUGGCCGUUCUUAGUUGGUGGAGUGAUCUGUCUGGUUAAUUCCGUUAACGAACGAGACCCCAGCCUGCUAAAUAGCGCGGCUGAGCUUUGCUCGGUGCGAGCUUCUUAGAGGGACUAUGAUGCGCGAUAGCACAUGGAAGUUUGGGGCAAUAACAGGUCUGUGAUGCCCUUAGAUGUUCUGGGCCGCACACGGGCUACACUGGCGCCUGCAACGAGCAUAUCAGCUGGCCCGAGAGGGUCUUGGCUAAUCUUUUGAACCGGCGCCGUGCUUGGGAUUGACCAUUGCAAUUGUUGGUCAUGCAACGAGGAAUGCCUUGUAAACGCGAGUCAUCAGCUCGCAUUGAAUACGUCCCUGCCCUUUGUACACACCGCCCGUCGCUCCUACCGAUGAAUGUUCCGAUGAAAUUUUCGGAGAGCGCCAGAGAACGGGGCUCCGCCUUGCAGAUCUGGAGGCUCAAAGUCACUUAAAUCUGAACAUUUCGAGGAAGGAGAAGUCGUAACAAGGUAGCCG